UACGUAGGGUCCGAGCGUUGUCCGGAAUUACUGGGCGUAAAGAGCUCGUAGGUGGUUUGUCGCGUUGUUCGUGAAAACUCACAGCUCAACUGUGGGCGUGCGGGCGAUACGGGCAGACUUGAGUACUGCAGGGGAGACUGGAAUUCCUGUGUAGCGGUGGAAUGCGCAGAUAUCAGGAGGAACACCGGUGGCGAAGGCGGGUCUCUGGGGACGGUACUGACGCUGAGGCGCGAAAGCGUGGGGAGCAAACAGG
rnacentral:rRNA from 1 species